rnacentral:rRNA from 1 species
CCUACGGGUGGCAGCAGUGAGGAAUAUUGGUCAAUGGGCGCAAGCCUGAACCAGCCAAGUCGCGUGCGGGAUGAAGGUUCUAUGGAUCGUAAACCUCUUUUAUAAGGGAAUAAAGUGUGGGACGUGUCCUAUUUUGUAUGUACCUUAUGAAUAAGGAUCGGCUAACUCCGUGCCAGCAGCCGCGGUAAUACGGAGGAUCCGAGCGUUAUCCGGAUUUAUUGGGUUUAAAGGGUGCGUAGGCGGCCUUUUAAGUCAGCGGUGAAAGGUUCUGGCUCAACCAUAGAAUUGCCGUUGAAACUGGGGGGCUUGAGUAUGUUUGAGGCAGGCGGAAUGCGUGGUGUAGCGGUGAAAUGCUUAGAUAUCACGCAGAACCCCGGUGGCGAAGGCAGCCUGCUAAGCCAUGACUGACGCUGAGGCACGAAAGCGUGGGGAGCAAACAGGAUUAGAUACCCCAGUAGUC